rnacentral:rRNA from 1 species
CCGCGGUAAUUCCAGCUCCAGUAGCGUAUCUCAAAGUUGCUGCGCUUAAAACGCUCGUAGUUGGAUGAUUAACCAUGUACAAAAUAGUUUUGAUAUAUAUUCAUUUAUUCACUGCAAUGAUUUUCAUGUUCUCAUGUUAUCAUGUAUGAAUUUGGUAUAUAUUGAAACGUUAAAUUUGUACAUGGUAAUUGCAUGUGAGGAUGAUCGUUGACCUUGAGUGUGUUGAUGAUCGUGUCUCACGGAGUGUGCCUUGAGUAAAUCAGAGUGCUCAAAGCAGGCGUUAUGCCUGAAUGUUUUUAGCAUGGAACGAACAAUCGUGUAAGGUGUGUAUUGAUGAUGGUAUAUACAUUUCGGUGUUAUACUACAAUACACGACACCGACCACCAAUUACGGAUGUUGGUUCCGUAUUGGGGUAAUGAUUAAGAGGAGCGGUUGGGGGCAUUGGUAUUUGGCAGCGAGAGGUGAAAU